UACGUAGGGCGCAAGCGUUGUCCGGAAUUAUUGGGCGUAAAGAGCUCGUAGGCGGCUUGGCAAGUCGGGUGUGAAAACUUCAGGCUCAACCUGGAGAUGCCACUCGAUACUGCUAUGGCUUGAGUCUGGUAGGGGAGCACGGAAUUCCUGGUGUAGCGGUGAAAUGCGCAGAUAUCAGGAGGAACACCGGUGGCGAAGGCGGUGCUCUGGGACGGUACUGACGCUGAGACGCGAAAGCGUGGGGAGCGAACAGG
rnacentral:rRNA from 1 species